GAUGAACGCUAGCGGCAGGCCUAAUACAUGCAAGUCGAACGGUAAGUGUUAUAGCAAUAUGACACCAAGAGUGACGCACGGGUGCGUAACACGUAUGCAACCUACCCUUUACAGGCGGAUAGCUCGGGGAAACUCGAAUUAACCCGCCAUAAUAUAAUUGGAUGGCAUCAUUUGAUUAUUAAAACUGAGGUGGUAAAGGAUGGGCAUGCGUCUGAUUAGUUAGUUGGUAGUGUAACGGACUACCAAGACGAUGAUCAGUAGGGGAACUGAGAGGUUGAUCCCCCCACACUGGCACUGAGAUACGGGCCAGACUCCUACGGGAGGCUG
rnacentral:rRNA from 1 species